rnacentral:lncRNA from 1 species
CAACACAAUUACCUUUCUGUGAUGUUUGGAGACAGGCAAGCAUCAUCUUGUCAGCGGAAGGAACCACGAACCUGAAGCAUAAAUCGGAUGACCACUUCCCUCAGGCGCCUUCUUCAACUAGAAGGCGAGCAUCGUCGAAGAUAAUCAGUGGUCCGCGGGCAUCAUAAACCAGUGACGAUGAACAUGAACCAUCGGCGUGCCCGGAUACAACAAACACCGAAGGAUCUGGCGCAUCAACCGAUUCAGGCGUCGCAAGCAGAUCGCCAGAAAAUCUCAGACGAACUUGGCUCAAGGGAUAGGCAAAUCCUCCGCUACAGGAACACCUCUUCGGAUCGGAUGACACGGCAUCCUGGAUCAAAAAGAACAGACCACUAACCGUGCCGUGAGAUCUGAAAAGCGUGACUCUCGAAACUCAUCCGGUGUCCGAAUAACAUCGUCCAAUAUAUCAAUCUUUAUGUCUCGACCAUUUCGAGACUCCUCGUCAUGUCCGUGAUCACAUCCGGGACUCCGAACUAACUUCGGUACAUCAAAACACAUAAACUCAUAAUACCAAUCGUCACCGAACGUUAAGCGUGCGGACACUACGGGUUCGAGAACUAUGUAGACAUGACUGAGACUCAUCUCCGGUCAAUAACCAAUAGCGGAACCUGGAUGCUCAUAUUGGUUCCUACAUAUUCUACGAAGAUCUUUAUCGGUCAAACCACAUAACAACAUGCGUUGUUCCCUUUGUCAUCGGUAUGUUACUUGCCCGAGAUUCGAUCGUCGGUAUCUCAAUACCUAGUUCAAUCUCGUUACCGGCAAGUCUCUUUACUCGUUCCGUAAUGCAUCAUCCCGUGACUAACUCAUUAGUCACAUUGCUUGCAAGGCUUAUAGUGAUGUACAUUACCGAGAGGGCCCAGAGAUACCUCUCUGAUAAUCGGAGUGACAAAUCCUAAUCUCGAUCUAUGCCAACUCAACAAACACCAUCGGAGACACUUGUAGAGCAUCUUUAUAAUCACCCAGUUACGUGACGUUUGAUAGCACACAAAGUGUUCCCCCGGUAUUCGGGAGUUGCAUAAUUUCAUAGUCAUAGGAACAUUUAUAAGUCAUGAAGAAAGCAAUAGCAACAUACUAAACGAUCAAGUGCUAAGCUAACGGAAUGGGUCAAGUCAAUCACAUAAUUCUCUAAUGAUGUGAUCCCGUUCAUCAAAUGACAACUCAUGUCUAUGGCUAGGAAACUUAACCAUCUUUGAUUAACGAGCUAGUCAAGUAGAGGCAUACUAGUGACACUCUGUUUGUCUAUGUAUUCACACAUGUACUAAGUUUCCGGUUAAUACAAUUCUAGCAUGAAUACUAAACAGUUAUCAUGAUAUAAGGAAAUAUAAAUAACAACUUUAUUAUUGCCUUUAGGGCAUAUUUCCUUCAAUAAUUGUAUGUAUAACUAUAAGAAAAAAGGAAGGGAAAAUGUAUAAGAUUAAGAAAGCUUGUGGGUUAGAGAUAUAGAAAAUAAAACUAAUUGGCUCUUAUCCAUUUAAAAAAUUGGAAUAGUAAAGAAAAGUAGACAUGAUGUUGUUUUAUUUUAUCGCAUUAGAAAAGACAAUCCAUAUCAUAUGUACCUAACCUUCCAUGACGCGGAGCAUCCUAUGAAAAUCACCAUGUCAAUAGCCCCUUUGUAAGAGACACGUGCAACCUCUACUUCAAACAUAUAAAUGUGAAUUUUCUCUUUUACAUGUGUCUUUUUGUCCCCUUCGAGGAUGGUAUACUAUUUGUCCAUCCAUCAUGCACGUAUAGGUUUGAAUGGAGCUUCACGGAUGACGAGGAAUGCAUGCAUAAGAGAACAUCUACACCAUCCGCGAAGGAAGCUUGGAAGAGGCGACGAAAGAAGCAUCAAGUAGAGAACCACCAAACAUCCGGUGCCACGUGAAGAUGGGCCACCAGAAGUGCCCAAAGACUGGACAUGCUAGGACGUCUGGAAUGGACCAAACCUCCAAUGUGUGUGCCUCCGACCAUACAUCUGAUGUGUACCAGAAAUCCGGUGUCAGGCACGCAAAGCAAAGUCAACAGUAAAUACUAGAGUUCCCUAUACCUAUCGAAUGUCCUGCACGUAACAACUAGGGUUUCGACUCAUGUACCUACCCUUUCACCCCUAACACUAUAAAUAGACGCUCCCUUCUCAUUUUUAGGGUUAGCUAAAAAUAGAAAGAAAAGAGAGAGCUUAGCUCAUCUACCUCCCCUAGUGGGAUUCUUAUUAGGAGUAGAUACAUGAGUGAAUUCAAGACCUCUUAGGAGAAUAAUCAUCUAUGGUUAUCAAGACCUCUACGAAGAAAGAUUCCCAAGUGUAUCGUCAAGCCCCAUCUCUCCAAAAGAUUUGGAUGAACUACCUCUCAAGAACUACCAUUUAUCUUUAUUUCUCUUGUUCUUAGAUUUUGAUGCACCUCAAGUAUUGCUUAUGAUUUGAGGAGUACCUGAUGUGGAUCUUGUCCAAUAGAACGUUCUCCCUUUGAUUUCUCCACGUUUCCCCAUGUUCUUUGUCAAUGGUGGUCGCCCUACCUUGGUUUGUCCGGUGCAAGCAGGGUGCAAGGCGGCACAUUAGCGCGGCGGCGUUGCCGGUGGCGAGUGACCAAAGCCUGCCCUACUUCAACUUCUAUUCGUCCUACAUCACUAUUUUUUGUGUUCCUCCUCGAAUCCACCUUCAAUUCAUGAAGAUCGGGCAACUAGGGCUCCUACGCUACAUCUAGGGUUUCUGCGACAAAAUCAAAUUUGAAGAUUAUUUUCUUCUUGUAAGAGAUCAUGUCUAGUAGAAUCGACAAGAUUGAGCCAAGGCCCCACCCUGAGACAACUAGAAAGCUUUCUUUGGGAAGUUUCCUCAUAGAGCCCUCCCAAAGUUUCAUAUCUGAAGCAAGUUUUCAAGAAACUAGCAAAGCUUGGUUGAAGGCCCUCGUGACGGAAAAACCAAUCCCACCUUUGUACUUUGCCGGUCUCAUCUUGUUCCAACUCAACCAGGCCAUAAAGAAUAAAAAUAAAGUGAGAACUGAAAAUGUACUCCCAAACCACAAAAGGAUCUUGAUGGAGUCGAACCAUCAUUCCCAGCAAUUUGUUUGCUGGAAUGCUCUUUCCAGUCCAGAGCUUAAGAUCCACGAUUUAUUCAUUUAUUUUAUAAUAAAAAAAUCGGACCAAACCAGCUGUAGAUAUCGUAAGUUGACAAAAUACUAUCACAUCCAAUUUGAAUACCACAGACUGCUUGCUAAAGUUUAAUUUGCUGAUCACAAAUGAAGGCAUAAAAAUGAGAAUACUAGCAAAGAAUGAUCCCAACUUCCAAAUUUAGAGAUAUUAUUGUGCAUUUUUUUUAUAGAAUAACGAAUCAUAAUUUAUUAAGAUAGUUUUGAAGAAAAAAAAGCUACAAAGAACUUUUCUGAUGAUAGUCUGUAAAUACGGAGAAAAUGCAAUCAAAUCAGGAAAUCAGCGAGCUCAAAAUGCCUACCUAACCAGGUUUCCUCGUUGGAGAAGCAACUGUUGCACCUAAACACGAAAGCUACAGCACAACAAGUCAAAGACUGCGUACCUCUGACAAUGCCAUAUAUGCAUGGCUAGGAAUUGCAUGCAAAUGUAAGAUUAUAUAUAACCAGACGAACCAGUAUGGAAUGUGAAACCAGCCCUUCCCGAAUAAAGCUCCUCCUACAGGUUUCAGCAAGACAUUGCUGAGCAAAAAUGGCAUUCACACUAAAAAAAAAUUCUGAUAUGACGAGCUAUACAUCCAUUAAGAACAUCUGGACAAGCUCAAGUUCUCAAGGCCAUUAACAAGGCAUCAAUUUUGGAAGAAUAAAAAGUAUACAAAGGGGAACACAAGUCCAACAAUGGUAUUUACAGAAUUGAUAAUAAAUAUGUACACCACGUAGUAGAACAAAUGGAACUCACCUGUGCACACAUCAUGAGAACUAACAGGAAAUAGUUGAAUUAUGACAAAGGUACAGAGCUCGUAACAUUGUACAAUAAAAUUUUUGCAGAGAAAACAAAGCUUCUCGGAAAAGCCUGCAAACGGCUUUUUUCUAAAAGAAGACAUUGUAACAUUGAACAAGAAUGCUGAUGAUCUCUCGUGGGGUGCAAGAGUACAAUAUUUACAUGUAUGAUAGAUCUCAUAUCAAGCCAAAAUAAGGUUGUUCAUUGACGAAGAGUUGGGAUGACGUGCAUAUGCAAAUUUAAAUUGAUGUAGCGAAGUGCUUGCCCGAUAGAAGCAGUUAGAUGUACCUUCGUUUGUAGUAUCAUUAAUCUUCAGUACGUAGUUAUCACUGCACCCAGGCCUACAUUUGCUAUGUAGGAUCGUGGUGCAAUUUUAGAUGAUCUUGUGGAAUCAACAACACAGGGCAAGGUCAGAGACACCAUGACAGGGUGGAGAACCCGGGCAAAAUAGAACAAAUUGAUAGUUCCCCGUGCGAUCUCCACCCCGCAAACACCAACAAAAUAUACGUUUUAUUGUCUCGUGGCCUGCCAAGCGAGCGCACCCGUCAUGGCAAAGACCGUCCUACCUACCAAUGUAGUACAGCAAGUAAUACAACACAUGCGCAUCAAUCUGCUUACCAACACAAUUACCUUUCUGCAAUGUUCGGAGACAGGCAAGCAUCACCUUGUCAGCAAAAGGAACCAUGAACGCCAUAUCUAGAUUUGAUCAGCAAACAUGAAGCAUAACUAGGAUGACCAAUUCCCUCCUGCGCCUUGUGGACAGCAGCAAGCACUGGAGAGCCUUCAUCAACUAGACGACCAUUGUCGAAAAUAUGCAGAGUAACCAAAAAUUCUGGAAAAGCUUGUGCUGCAAAAAGUUAACAACUCUCUUUUUCUAACAGAAGACAUUGCAUUGAAAAAGAAUGCUAAUGAAGUAAUGAUAUCUUAUUGAUAUUUCAGUACUAUCGUGCUGGCGCGGUGCAAGAGUACAAGAUUUACAGGUAUGAACGAUUUGUAUCAAACCAAAAUAUGGUUGUUCAGUAUGGUUAUGUUUUGCGUUGGGGUGACGUGCGAUAUGCAAAUUUAAAUUGAUAUAACGAAGUGCUUGCCUGAUAGAAGCAGCUAGAUGUACCUUGGUUUGUAGUUAUCAUCGAUCUUGAGUAUGCAGUUAUCAUUGAUCUUCAGUACGUAGUUAUCGCUGCACCUGUCGAUAUAUUUGAUAUGAAGGAUCGCGGUGUACUUAAGAUGAUAUAGCGGAAUCAACAAAGAUGAUGUCACGGAAUCAACAACACGAGAGAAGGACAGAGACACCAUGGCAGGGUGGAGAACCCGGGCAAAAUAGAACAAAUUGAUAGUUCCCGUGCGAUCUCCACCCCGCAAACACCAGCAAAAUAUUCAUUUUAUUGUCUCAUGGCCUGCCAAGCGAGCGCACCCGACAUGGCAAAGGCCGUCCUACGCUACCAAUGCAGUACAACAUGUAAUAAUACAGCACGCACGUACACACAUGCGCGUCAAUCAGCCUACCAACACAAUUACCUUUCUGUGAUGUUUGGAGACAGGCAAGCAUCAUCUUGUCAGCAGAAGGAACCACGAACCUGAAGCAUAAAUCGGAUGACCACUUCCCUCAGGCGCCUUCUUCAACUAGAAGGCGAGCAUCGUCGAAGAUAAUCAGUGGUCAGCAGGCAUCAUAAACCAGUGACGAUGAACAUGAACCAUCGGCGUGCCCGGAACAAAAACCGAAGGAUCUGGCGCAUCAACCGAUUCAGGCGUCGCAAGCGUAUCGCCAGAAAAUCUUAGACGAACUUGGCUCAAGGGAUACACAUGUACCAGAGAGGCAAAUCCUCCGCUACAGGAACACCUCUUCGGAUCGGAUGACACAUCAUCCUGGAUCAGAAGGAACAGACCACUAACCGUGCCGUGAGAUCUGAAAAGCGUCCAGAAGAUCGUCUAGUAACUUAUCUAGAGAAUAUAUAUACUGGCUCCAUGCAUGAAGAAAGGAGUUGGGGAAUUAUAAUUCGGAAAGUAACAACGUAGAAAAAGAUAUAUGGAUCUAGAUCUAGCCUUGCUAACAAGCAAAAUUAUACCUACGCAAUCACGACACAACCUUACUGUGAUCUGAAAUACCCUGGAUUCUAAUUCGAAAACCGAAAGGAACAGGAGGAACAAGAUUAGAUUAGGUGCACCUCACGAUUCUCGCGACGAAACAAAGACGAGACUGCGACGGGCGAUGGGAGCAGGAGAGGACGGGGCGAUCGAGGGGAAAGGCGUAAAUAAAAGGGAAGGGAGGGUGGCUGGUG